UGCUUGUGGCCGGUGCAUGACAGAGCAAGCUUCAGGCAGAGAUCAAAUGCGUCUACCGAGUAUUCGCCCUUGAGCCUAGGAUCGGCAAAUUCCAACACAUUUCCCUCUCUGAUGAGCAUAGAAGCCUGAGAGCAAAAGGAGCUGCAGGAGCACCAUACCAAAGCUGUAUACAUCCCCUGCAGCAUUCACCCUGUGGUUGUGGCGGUACUCUGGGUCGACGUAGCCAAAAGUUCCUCUAACUUCAGAGCUCACGUGGGAUACGCCUAUGUCGAUGACUCUCGACAGUCCAAAGUCCGCGAGUUUGGGCUCCAUAUCAACCCCAAGAACCCUCAGGGAAUAUGUGAAGGAACCAAAGGCCGCAAGCACUGCCAAGUGCGAUCUGAAGCCUCUGAGUCCAUGACAGGCUCUUAUCCUUCCCUGUCAUCAAAUUGUUACUUUUAAUCAUAGAGAACAUUGCAUAAUACAUCCUGUAGUCUCCUCAAAUAUGUACUUACCAAAUAGCCAUUCUGAUAGGUUACCAUUGACGCAUAGCUCAUACACAAGAAAACACUCUUCCUGCCCAUCACAGUAACCUCUUAAUGACACAAGGUUUGGAUGCUUGACAUGUGAGAGGCUUGUAACUUCCCUUACGAAGGUUUCUGCAUGUUCAUUCUUAAUUAUGUGCUUCACGGCAACAGGCCAGCCAUUUGCAAGCAUUCCUUUGUACACUUUCCCUGCAAAUCACAUCAGGAAGGUGCAUCCAACUCUUAGAACAACAACAACCUACUGAAUGUGGUUAUUACCUUCUACUUCUCAUGUUAUAUGUAUAUCACAGUUCUGCUCCCUGUGGUCCUAUCUGGUUCAUGUACAAAUAAAUUUGUCCUGAAUCGGCUAGUAUUGUCAUAUGUACCUGCAAUUCCCUGCCCGAUGAUAUUUGAAAGGUGUAAGUUUUCAGUUGCAGCGUAUAUCUCUUUGACUGACAUCUGCUUGCAGGUAACCUCCUCAUACUCAACAGACGCUGUACCAACCUCUGCAAUAUAAAGAUGAACAAUUGCAUAGCGUUAGUACCAAUAGAUGACAACAAACCCGAUGAUCACCGCCGCGACGAGGCACCCAAGCAGUACUUCAUAUCCUGCAUACUCUCAGAAGGCAAUGAAUUUCAAGGCACGGGUAGAAAGGAAGGGGAAAAGGCAGGUAAGGUAGACAUACCUGUAUGCAUCUAGCUGUGGAACGUCUGGGAAGAACACAAGGUUGCCUUUUCUUUCACUGUGAAGGUUCCAACCGAACCAAAUUAAUAUCAUGGCCACUCGCUAACCAGUCGUUAUUAGCAAUGAUGAAUAGCCGUUGCCGGCCAAGGGCUAGAACGGAAGAAGCCAAAGCACGGAAAAAUAUUGGAUCAAGGAAUCGGGCCGGGUCCGUACCAGAAUACAGCAUCAACUGAGUUCUCAUGUUACGUCACUGGUUUACAUAAUCUAAUCGAUUUUGUCA